AGUCUCCUGUGAUUAGUCCCGUCCCCUAAUGAGAUUACAGCGUCCAGGUGAUGCAGCAGUGCCUGCUACAGAAAAGUUUAAAAGGUUGAUCGAGGCGGGCUAGCAGGAGCUCUGUGGAACAGCCUUCCCCAGUCAGUCAUCCAAGGAGGAGCGGCAUUGAAUGACUCUCACAAAGCAUACACAAAGCACUUCUUGUUGCGCUAAUCAUCAACUAAGUAAAAUUAACCAAUUUGCUAAUUAAGGCUCCUGACAAUUCAUCAUUACAGUAACGCUGCACUGCAGUGAUUUCAUCACCCGGUCACCGGCUCCUUCCCUGCUCUGAGCACUCCUGCCAUGACUCGCUGGGGCCAGGAUCUGGGUGGCCGCUGCUUUCCAGAGGAAUUUAAAAGGGAUCAGUCUCCUGCUGAAGAAGGAAGGAGCAGAGAGGGAAGGAUGCCUCUGCUGACUAAGCAGGAGAGACACAGGAGUUGGGAGGCUGAGGGGAGAAGGAUUUGGGAUUCAAUGCCUCCUGCUCACUGGAACACUGCUCCCUGGACCUCCCACCACCUGGAUUUUCACUCCCUGGGGCUCCCCAUCACUGCACACCCCCUUAGGGAGCCUCCCCCACUGGGCAGAUGCACAGCUUGGAAGAGGAGGCUGCGAGCACAGAGCCCUCCCGAGGCACAGCCAGACCUGUCCUCCAUCGGGCAGUGGCCAGAAAACCCUUCCCCAACAGCAAAGCAACCCUGAAAGCUUGAACUGCACACACGGCGUGUCUCCUGGAGCCUCAGAUGCUCUCUAAACAUCUUCCCUUCUUCAAAAGGGUAAACAAUCUUUCACCCAUUUAACCUUAGACACCAAACUCUGUGACUCACCCAAAAUCUCAACACUUCCUUGUGCCCCUGCCAUUUGUCCCUAUUCAAGGCAAGGAACAACACCAGUAUCAAGAGAUUUGUAUUUUAUGUUCCCCUCUGAUGUAGCCUCACUCACUCGAACACCAUAAUUUGACCUUCGGUGUCUCAGCUUCACAAAUUGCACAUAAA